rnacentral:rRNA from 1 species
UACGAGGGGGGCAAGCGUUGUUCGGAAUUAUUGGGCGUAAAGGGUGCGUAGGCGGUUUGGUAAGUCACCUGUGAAAUCUCCUGGCUCAACUGGGAGCUUGCAGGCGAAACUGCCGUACUGGAGUGUGGGAGAGGUGCGUGGAAUUCCCGGUGUAGCGGUGAAAUGCGUAGAGAUCGGAAAGAACACCAACGGCGAAAGCACUCUGCUGGGCCGACACUGACACUGAGAGACGAAAGCUAGGGGAGCGAAUGGG